GACUGCUGUAAGGGAAGCCUUUUACCUGCAGAAGGGGGCAUACUGGAUCAUGUUGUGACCCUGGGUCUACUGGUGCAGGGUGCCAAGUGUGGUCUGGAGAAGUGCAGUGUCUCUUCAGCUCAGGCCGCUGUGUGGUCCUUGCUCGUAGCCGGCUGUAUUGACAUUUCAGCUUUGCUGGUGGGGUGGGGUGAAACUGAAGCAGAACCUUCGUGAGGGGUCCCAGGAAGCUGAGGACGCCGUCACUCACCCCACUCUUAAGGAAGGGAUAUUGUGUUUUCUUACAAAUUGAAAAUUUGUGGCAACCCUGUGUGGAGCAGGUCUGUCGGCACCAUUUUUCCAACAGCAUUAUUUUUAAUUAAGAAUAAUGACGAAGGAUCAAGGUAAAUGAAUGAAGAUACUGGCGUUCACUGGGAUAGAGGGUAGGAGUUUACCUCAGAAGAUGAACUUGGAAAAUCACUUCUAUGGUAUUCUUGCUAAAAUUGCUAAAAAUGCAUAGCCUGAAUUCAGUCAAGAUCAGACAAACCCAAAUUGAGGGACAUUCUUAAAAAAUACCUGGGCAGGUACUCUUCAAAUAUGUCAAGGUCAUGGAAGACAAAGACGUUGAAAGUCUGUUCCAUAUUAAGGGAGACAAAACAACUACAUGCAACAUGUGGACCUGGACUGGAUUCUGGACCAGAAAAAGAACAUUAGUCAGACAAUUGAUGAACUUAAGGACUGUGGAUCAGAUAACAGUAUUUUGCUAAUGUUAACUCUCUUGUUUUUAUCAUUUCUCUGUGGCAUGAAAAAUGAUAACAUUUGGGUAAACUAGGGGAUGGGUAUUCAGGAAUUCU